UUGCUAUCUUAGUGGCGGACGGGUGAGUAACGCGUGGGUAACCUGCCUUACACUGGGGGAUAACACUUAGAAAUAGGUGCUAAUACCGCAUAACAGGAGAAGAUGCAUGUCUUUUCCUUAAAAACUCCGGUGGUGUAAGAUGGACCCGCGUCUGAUUAGCUUGUUGGCGGGGUAACGGCCCACCAAGGCGACGAUCAGUAGCCGGCCUGAGAGGGUGAACGGCCACAUUGGGACUGAGACACGGCCCAAACUCCUACGGGAGGCAGCAG
rnacentral:rRNA from 1 species